CCUACGAGAGGCAGCAGUGAGGAAUAUUGGUCAAUGGACGGAAGUCUGAACCAGCCAUGCCGCGUGCAGGAAGACGGCUCUAUGAGUUGUAAACUGCUUUUGCACAAGGGUAAACCUGAAUACGUGUAUUCCACUGAAUGUACUGUACGAAUAAGGAUCGCCCAACUCGGUGCCAGCAGCCGCGGUAAUACGGAGGGUCCGAGCGUUAUCCGGAUUUAGUGGGUUUAAAGGGUUCGUAGGCGGAUUGUUAAGUUAGAGGUGAAGUGUCCGGGCUUAACUCGGGAACUGCCUCUAAUACUGGUGAUCUAGAGAGUAUAUGCGGUAGGCGGAAUGUAAGGUGUAGGGGUGAAAUGCUUAGAGAUCAGACAGAACACCGAUUGCGAAGGCAGCUUACCAAUCUAUAUCUGACGUUGAGGCACGAAAGCGUGGGGAGCAAACAGGAUUAGAUACCCUAGUAGUC
rnacentral:rRNA from 1 species